UUGCUCUCACUUUUCCACUCCCCACUCUUUCCUCCACUCCCACACACUCUCCUCCUACCUCUCCCCACGAAAUUGCUGCUCCUCCUAGCUUCAUGGCCGGCCAUGGCCAUGAAAAGCUCUCCAAGAUGAAGCUCUCCCCCUCCCUCAAGCUCCCCCUCUCCAUGAGAGCAUCCCUCUCCUUCUUCUCCCCAAUCCUAGAUGGUUUUCUCUCCUCUUCUUCUUCCUCCCUUGCUAAGUUUGGAUCUUGAUGCAGGUGCAUGUUGGUCCAAGCAUGGAGAAGCUUCACCUAUCCUCAGAUCUGAAGUUCUUGACCAAAAUUCGUCCAAAACCUUGCAGGGAGACUUAGUUGUGCCAUGGUGAUACCGAGAGAGGCAAUUGCUAAGUUAUGAUACUCUCAUACCUUUACUAGAUGCGAACGAUUCCGGAGAAGAAGAAGAAGUGGUUCGGACAAGGAUUUUAUUUAUAUUGACGGGAUUCUUAUAUUGAUGAACUUGAAGAAGUCCAGGGACAAAUAAGCCAAGGCAAGCCAUCUUUUGAUCUCUGAUAUGAUGUCUCUUUGGAUGUCAUCUUGUGCUAUCAAUAGCAUCUUGGUUCUAUGUGUGAUGAUCUCCAUAUUGUUGCCAUCUAUGCUUGGAUGCAAGCAUGGCACCUCUAGUAGUUUUAUCUUGUCAAGGUCUUGGUAAUUGGUUGGGUGUAUGGUAUCAUGGCCAUUGCUAUCCAACUUGCUUUCUAUAUUUAGCUUGAAUAUGUUCCACCUCGGGACAAGAUUCAUACUACACCCCCUUCUAGUGUAGAUGUAUCAAUACCAUGUUUUUGGUGUAUUCUCAAAUUGUGAUGAGUAUGCCUGUUUUCCC